ACUUCUCGGUGCCUGGCAGCUGCAAGGGUC
rnacentral:piRNA from 1 species